rnacentral:rRNA from 1 species
GGUCAAGCGAAUAUAGGUCUAUGGCGGAUGCCUAUGGAGCUGUAAGGCGAAGAAGGUCGUGAUAAGCUGCGAAAAGCCACGGGGAGUAGCACAUAUGCGUUAAUCCGUGGAUCACCGAAUGGGGUAACCCACAUCUUCGGAUGUACUACGUAUCUGAAUAAAAUAGGAUAGUAGAGUCAGACUGGGUGAAGUGAACCAUCUAAGUAACCCGGGAACAGAAAUCAAAAGAGAUUCCCUAAGUAGCGGCGAGCGAACGGGGAGGAGCCCAAACCACGAAAGUGGGGUUGUAGGACUGCGACGUGAGAUACUGAUGAGUAGAAGAAUCUUCUGGGAAGGAGAGUCAAAGAGUGUGAAAGCCACGUAUUCGAAACGAAUCAGACUCUAGCAGUAUCCUGAGUACGGCGGGGCACGAGGAACCCUGUCGGAAUCUAGGUCGACCACGAUCUAAGGCUAAAUACUAGACAGCUACCGAUAGUGAACAAGUACCGUGAGGGAAAGGUGAAAAGAACCCCGGUAAGGGGAGUGAAAUAGAACCUGAAACCAUAGACUGACAAGAUGUCACAGCCUGCAAAGGUAGUGGCGUGUCUUUUGUAGAAUAAACCUGCGAGUUACGGUAUGCAGCGAGGUUAAGGAAUGGUAGUUCUGGAGCCGAAGGGAAACCGAGUCUGAAAAGGGCGAUAUAAGUUGCAUGCAGUAGACCCGAAGCCAAGGUGAUCUUAUCAUGGGCAGGUUGAAGUCUGGGUAACACCAGAUGGAGGACCGAACAGUAAUCUGUUAAAAAAGGUAGUGAUGACCUGUGAUAAGGAGUGAAAGGCUAAACAAACCUGGAAAUAGCUGGCUCUCCCCGAAAUGCCUUUAGGGACAGCCUUAUACAAAACUAUCGGAGGUAAAGCACUGGAUGAGCUAGGGGGCGUCAAAGUCUACCGAAAUCAAUCAAACUCUGAAUGCCGAUAGUCAACGUAUAGGAGUGAGACUGUGUGCGCCAAGGUUCAUAGUCGAAAGGGAAACAGCCCAGACCGGCAACUAAGGUCCCGAAAUUAUGCUAAGUGUAAAAUGAAGUUUAGAUGCAUAGACAGCCAGGAGGUUGGCUUAGAAGCAGCCAUUCCUUCAAAGAGUGCGUAAUAGCUCACUGGUCGAGCAUCUGAGCGCAGACAAUGUAACGGGGCUAAGCAUAAUACCGAAGUUCCGGAACUCAUGCAUAGGUAUGAGUUGGUAGGGGAGCAUUCCAUUAACUGAAGAAGGAAAAUCUGUGAGGAUUUCUGGAGGAGAUGGAAGAGAGAAUGCAGGCAUAAGUAACGCAAAGACGGGUGAGAUCCCCGUCCGCCGAAAACCUAAGGUUUCCAGGGUAAAGGCAAUCUGCCCUGGGUAAGUCGGCCCCUAAGGCGAGGCUGAAAAGCGUAGUCGAUGGGAAUCUGGUUUAUAAUCCAGAACCUGAUAUAUUUUGAAGCCAUGACGCAUGAGGUGAAGACCUGCCAGGCGACGGUAGACCUGGUUGAAAUAUCGAGUUGGUGAGAGUGUGGUUAAAUGAACACUUGAGAUGAGAUAUGAAAGGAGGGGAGAGAAAGUCGAACCGAAGAGGAAGUAAUCAAGGUGCCGAGAAAUAGUGGCUAAGUUAGGUAUAUUAGACCGUACCGGAAACCGACACAGGUAGGAAGGAUGAGUAAUCUAAGGCGCACGAGCGACCUCGCGUUAAGGAACUCGGCAAAAUGCACACGUAACUUCGGAAGAAGUGUGGCUCCUGUUUGAAAGAAUUGGGAGUGGCAGAAAGCAGGCCCAGGCGACUGUUUAUCAAAAACACAGCCAUCUGCGAACCAGCAAUGGGACGUAUAGGUGGUGACACCUGCCCGGUGCAGGAAGGUUAAGAGGAGAGGUUAGGGUUAAACCGAAGCUUUGAAUUGAAGCCCCUGUAAACGGCGGCCGUAAC